GCGGGGAUAGCUCAGCGGUAGAGCGUCACCUUCCCAAGGUGAGGGUCGCGGGUUCGACUCCCGUUCCCCGCU
rnacentral:tRNA from 1 species